rnacentral:rRNA from 1 species
AACGCUUUUCUUUCACCGGAGCUUGCUCCACCGAAAGAAAAAGAGUGGCGAACGGGUGAGUAACACGUGGAUAACCUACCCUCAAGCGGGGGAUAACACUUGGAAACAGGUGCUAAUACCGCAUAAUAAAGAAAACCGCAUGGUUUUCUUUUGAAAGGCGCUUUUGCGUCACUUGAGGAUGGAUCCGCGGUGCAUUAGUUAGUUGGUGGGGUAAAGGCUUACCAAGACAAUGAUGCAUAGCCGAGUUGAGAGACUGAUCGGCCACAUUGGGACUGAGACACGGCCCAAACUCC